UUCAUCGCUAAAUCAAAUAAAAAACUUAUUUAAUCGUAUCGGUAACAAGAAACACUUAUGAAUGUUAAUAUAAAUUGGGACAUGCGAGAAGAACAUUAGUAUGUUCUUCUAUGACUGACUGACUGACUUAAUGAAUAUACAUUGGUAGUCUACUAUCUAUUCGAUACGUUACGUUUUUAUAUUAUCUACUCUAUUCUACGUAUCAGCAGCACCCGCAAACUUCGUCUCCCCUUAAGAUUUUUUACUUAGACUACCUUCUUUGUAGUUAUAUAGCAACAUACGUAACAUUACUCGAAUUGGUUCAUCUGUCUUCCAUUUUUAUUUCGAUAGAUAACGAUACCCUUUUAAUCACAAGAAAAUUUUAAGGAACUGUAACUAUUGCGUCAAGUAUCACGGUAAAUGUAAAAAUAAUAAACUAGCAAACGCUUAGCAUGAGCGGUCGAAAUAGAAGCAAGCACAUAGUGUGAACAAAACACAAACACGUAUUUAAACGCCGACAAAUUUUAAAGGUCACGGACUUAGUGGUUUUCAAAGUCAAGGUUAACAGCUGACAUGAAACGUUAUCAAUUUUUAACGUGUUAUCUGUGUAUGAUUAGAUGUACUCUGCGUAAAUGUAAAGUUAAUACAUGUAAUGUAUUUAUUUAAAAGCAUUGGUGUGAAUCUGAACAAAAUCAAAGUAAUAGAGAACUUAGAUAUAGAGAAUUAGAGAGAAGACUAAAUUAAUAUAACAAAAAACAAACAAAAACAAUAACUAACUUGAAAUAUAAUAACUAAAAUAUACUUUAAAAGGAGCCCCAUUUAGGCAAGUUUCCAAUGAUACUGGUACCGUUUCUCCUUUGAAUAGCUAGACUAAUGUUUUGUCCGAGGUAACUGCCAGCUCUUCGGUCUCCUGUGAUGGGCGCUAUGACCCCACGGACCUAGGGGCUCGACACCGAAUGUGACAAAAUCGUAUUCGGAGCCUAGACCUCCGUAUAUGCAUGGUUUAAUAUAAUAAACUAUUUAUGUAGAUUAUGAAUUACUACCUAUAAGACUAAUAGGUAGACAAGAAGUAAGACUUUAAGGAUGGCUCGCGAAUCGUGAAUUAACGCUGAAUACGCUUUUCGAUCAAUUUGGACCUAUUGUACGAUUGGAAGGAAAAUUGAGAGCGCCAACACUGAUAUUCAUUUUAGAUGCAGAGGCCGCUGCGCUUAUAUUAAGAAGCGAAAACUGGAUGCCGGUUCGUCCCGGAUUUAGGAGUUAAUACAGGAAGAAAAUUAUUCCCUGCAAUUCUGAUCAAUUAACGGGCCUUUUAACUGAGUAAGAAUCUUAACCGUUUACAAUCCUUUACAGCUGAAACUUCAUUGUACCGGAAGUUGGUCGAAACUUGUUGUUUUAAACGGAUAUUGAUGUAAUCAAGCUUAAUUAUAGUACAAGAUUUAUAUUUUCUUUAUUUGUAAAAAUUACCGUUACCUGGAGGGUAUGCGGGUAUGGCAUAAAAUUAUUAAUUUCUUUUAUAUCUUAUUAAUUAUAUAUGCAUUCGUUAGCUUGACCAUGUGUCAAGCGCGUUGUCUGUUUCCAUUUAUUUCAAAACCCAGGGUGAUAUUUAAUUCUGUCAAUUAAAAACUUCAAAGUUGGUUCCAUCAUUGGAGAGUUACAGAGUACGGAUACUGAACCUGUUAGUAUUACUUCACCGUAGGAGUGCCUAUGUUGUUUCGCAGAUUCCAAUGUAUGCAUUGCCUAGAUUCAAAUGCAGGACACUGGUAAGGCAUUUAAAGUUUUAAAACUGAAUUCACAUUAUUUAAUACAUUGAAAUAAAUCUAGAAAGAUCUGCCGCGUAUUCAAAGACAAAAAAUAAUAAUGAACAAUUUUACAAUCAUGGUGAACCAUUGAAAAAAUUCCAUUCAAUAGUAAACCCAAUAAUGAUGCAUUCGAAAACUAUUUAACUGUACAGCAAAAUAUUGAACGAAGUGUCAGAUGAUAUAGUUACAAGGUAAUAAUUGCUUGUCAAAAUGUAGAUUCACCUAGUUAUCAAUGUCUUGAACAUAAAUAAUAAUAAAGAAAUCAAACCGAUAUUUAUUUCAGAAUUCAUAUUACAAAAGUAAGAAUUAAAAAUCACUUGUGACACACACCAAGUGACACCAAAAUCUGAUGAGUUCUAAAAAUACUCAAAAAAAUGUCCAUAUACUCGUAGAUUUAAUUUUUUUCAGUAACCGACAGAUAAUAGUAAAAUUAAAUAACACUAUUUCAAAGUCAUAGACCUACAAUAAUACCAUAGGUAUGACGACAACGACAAAUAUUUAAAAACGACUGUAUAUUUUUCGGUGUUGUAAUAUCGUUAUGGGCUUUGGAAACGAUUAGUGUAGUGGCUCUUGGUGGUUGAAUAAACUGUCUUGAUCUAAAUCUACCAGAAGAUUCUCCCGCCCGAAGACUCAAAUUGCCAAUGAUAUAUUUGUUCUGAUAAACAAAUUGGCCUUUAGACCAAGUUUAUGGCGAUACAUUUUAACACGGAACUAUAAAAAGCUAAUGAAUUGUUAUGCUGAGCAAAAAAGCAUAAGCGAGUAAGGCGAUUGAAGAAUAUAAAUCUAAGGGAAACAAAGAUGAUGAAGAGAAAAGCGUUCUUGAGAAACUUUUGGAAAUAGAUGAGGAAGUGGCCGUCAUCAUGGCGACAGACUUGCUAUUUGCUGGUGUGGACACAUCUGCACACACAAUGUUAGCAACAUUAUACCUACUAGCGAAAAAUAAAGAUAAUCAAGAAAAACUAAGAGACGAAAUAAUGUCUCAGAACGAGAUGAAACCCUACUUGAAAGACUGCAAUAAAGAAUCCUUACGUGUAAUGCCUAUUGUGGCUGGAAAUCUGAGGAUGACCAAUAAAGAUUAUAAUAUUUUAGCUUAUAAUUUUCCCGAAAAACACUUCAGUAACAUUUACUUAUAAAUUUUUGUCAACGAGUGAGCAACAUUUUCUACGUUCAAAAGAAUUCAUUCCUGAACGUUGGCUGGUUGAAAAACUCAUGCCUUACAUUGUGGAAGGGCACACCUAUUUGCGCACAACCCUUUUGGCUUCGGCGUUAGGAGCCGUUUAGGUCGCCGAAUUGCUUAGUUAGAACUGGAGAUUCUAAUUUCAAAUAUACUGAAGAACUUUAGAGUGGAUUGGAUAGGAUCACCUGCUAAAACCAAA